GAUGCUCGAAAGAAGCGCCCUUCCAGGGCAGGCCAGAACGCGUAGGGACAUCUGUAAACGGCUAUAGGUCCAUACGUCUAGGUUGCGUGAAGUAAAGUCGGUCUUGUGUGAUGGUGUAUGUCGAGUCGGUCGAGUUUGUUGAAUUAUGUGUGCAGCAAUGACUGAGAUCGUUGUUUGAGUUGACCGUUAAGUUGUUAGUAAAGUAUAGAACUGUGAUUGCUUGGAAAUAAUGAUGAUAGAAUGUUCUAGAAUGCAUUUGGACCCUGGUUUUCGCAUAGAGUAGUAUAUAGUGUCAUGUAGGCAGGCUGGUCUAGAGUCACUUCACUGAGUAACCCGUUGCUCAUUCCCUCCCUUUCUAUUUCCCUGUGCGCAGGACUGUAAGUAGAAGUAUAAGGAUACGGGUGUGACAGUAUUUCACAGAAGGUUAUGCGUCCGUCGACUCUUAGGACCAGUAAUGAGACACGUAUAGGCGUCUAAAUGAGUAGACAUGUAUCCAUAACGCCCUUUCGAUAACUCCGGUCAGACGCCAUUGGAUCGGGCCGUUACAAAUGGUAUCAGAGCGGGGGUUAAGAUCCCUUAGUACUAUCUUAAGGGGUCGGCAUUUCCGAAAUUUUCAAAACCUGUUUUAAAAGAAAAAUGUUUGUGAAAUUUUAUGGCAUCCAAAAAGUUGUGAAAUGAGUUUUCAAAACCACCCAAUAUAUUUAUACGUCUAUUAUGGUUUUGAUCAGAUCCAUUUUACUUGCAGAAUUUCUUUCCGAGCUUAAUUCAUUCGUUGGUUCUUAAAAGAUCCUGAGCAAUGUGUUCCUCGCCUUGUGUGCCCCCUUGUUUGAUUGUGUGAGUCCAUUUCGGUAUCAGAUGUUAAGUUCAGAAGUCUAGGGCUUGGAAUUCGGGGACAAAUUCCGAUUAACAGGGGGAGAUUGUAACAUCCUGAUACCUGGCCUAAAAAUUUCUUAAGGAGAGUCCGUUAGAACUGCGGCCCAUUAGGGUAAAUGACCUAGGGUUCCCUCUUUUUCCUAUAAAUGAAGCUGCCUCCUCUCACUUUUCUCUCAUUCUGAAACUUGAGCGAAGCCCUGCAGAGAUUUACAGAGGCUAGGAAACCCUAGCCUUCAAGCUUCUCUUUUCCUUUUCUCUCUUCUUCUCUCAAGCCUCUCUCUCUCUCUCUCCUUUCUCUCCCCAUUGGAUCUCUUCCUCUCUCCUCGCCGCGAGUCACCCCGAGAGCAAGCCGAGCUGCCGGUGGUGGUGGGGUGAUCGUCCGAGUGUGGUGAUGGUGGUGGUGACCAGAUCUCGUCUCUUUUGUUUCUUUGUUUCAGAUCUGUUCAGAUCUCAUCCCCCUUGUCUCUUGUUUCCAGAUCCAGAUCCAGAUCGAAGCUAACGUGAGGUGAUUCGAACCCAUCUUGCUCCCAUGUACUGUAUACUCCUUUAUAUUGGAGUUAGGUCUGAUUAGACCCUGUUUGAGAGUUAGGUUGGUAGAUCAUAUGAUGAAUGCUAGGAUGCUAGAUGAAUGAUCAUGCUGCAUAAGAACUCUCAUCUUGUUUAAAGGACUUAAUGAACUGCCUUGGGUUGAUAUGAAUGUUGUUUAUAAUGGUUGCUUGUGUGAUUGGUUGUUGUGAUUCCUAUGAGGAUCCUUGAAUGAGAGCUAGGUUGCUAGAAAAAAGUGAAUGCCUAAGAUGAUAGAUGUCAACUGGUACCACUUGUUGUGAAUGAGAAUGUGCAGUAUAUUGCGUGUGACACCGAUAACGGGUGGCGUCUAGUGAGUGAAUACGAGUCUAAGUGUAAAUGAAUAUGGGAAAGUGAACGAGAACGAGAACGAUAAUGGGAAUGAGAAUGUGAACGUGUUAAUGAACUUGCUUGAAAUCCUGUUUGGACCACCGAGAACGGGUGGGCGUCUAGAGUCUAAGAUGUAUGAACCUGCGGGACAGUAGCCUAACACGAGGUAUCCACAGGAGCCUGCAGGUUAGUAGCCUAACACGAAAUACCCACAGGACCCCACAGAACUGUAGCCUAACAUGAGGUAUCCGUGGGAGUGACCCGCGGGACAAUAGCCUAUUCUAUGCAUUCGAUAGCCAAUUUAGACAAAUUAUAUUUAUGUUUAUAAUAUAAGAAAAAAAGAAGACUGAAUUCAUUACGUUAUUUUUGGUAGCAUGGAAACCCUAAUCUUAUGCACGAGACACGCCAUGUUAAUUUCUAAUUUCAAGGCAUCUAUUUAUAUAAAGUACUGUUUGCUCUCUCCAGAACGCACCACCUCAUCAUCCACCUAGAUAAGUCAUUUUCUCUCGUGGCGACACGUGUCACAGAAGACUCAAACUCAGCGUUUCAUUUAUUCCAAAAGUCAUAAAUGAUACGGGCUUUGCUAUUUUCUGGGCCUGAUGUUGAGCAAUCCUGUGUGACGGCCAGAGCCGACUCUAAUCUUUGCUUCACGCUGUCUAACAGAAGCUUAGGGAUCGUCUUUGUUCUUCGUUCGAUCGCGACUUCUGAUCUUCAUCUCAGUCACCGAAACAGUCUCUGUUGCAAUUAUUUCGUGUUAAAUCCCUUAUUAAUUCAAUCAAUGAAGCCUUGAAUGCAAUAUUUUCUUUAGGAAGCGGUGUACCUGUGAAUAUAAAAAGGGACAGUACAUAGUCAGAGUCUCAAGUCGCCUUCAUGAUGAUGACACCAUUGUCGAGAGAAGACAUAAAGCUAGCUGAAGUUUUGAUAACGGUAAAGAACUUGAAAUGUUUAGGAAACCCAACAUUGCUAGAUGCCUAGAUGUUUUACUCCAUAGAGGACAUGGAUAAUCGUAAAAGAAAACAGAAGGUCUCUGAGAAAUAUAGAUGGAAAAGAAGGAAAUUGCAGAGCAUGAAGCAGUCAAGAAAGAGCCAGAAGCUUUCUACUGGAGAGACUUGGCAAUGUUCCAAUGCAUGCGUUAUGUCUAGGAGAUUCUUCAUUCGGCGAAAUAGGAGAGAAAAAAGAAUAUAUAACAAUUUGGUCCAGUUUUUAAUUAUUUAAAAGGACUUAAAUAAAAUAAUUGACGUAUUUUUUAAUAUUUUUGUAGUUUCUUAUUUAAACUGAAGGUAACAUGUAACACCUAUCAAGGAUGAGCACGAGCAUUACUUUGAUUAUAAUCUGAUUGAAAAUCAUA